ACACGUAGGGGCCUGACGUUGUUCGGAAUCAUUGGGUGUAAAGGGCGCGCAGGCGGCCGUCCAAGUCCGGUGUUAAAUGGUGGGGCCCACCCCGAUCAUGCGCUGGAAACUGGGCGGCUGGAGUCCCGGAGGGGAUGCGGGAAUUCCAGGGGUAGGGGGGAAAUCUGUAGAGAUCUGGAAGAACACCGAUGGCGAAGGCAGGCAUCUGGCCGGAGACGGACGCUGAGGCGCGAAGGCGCGGGGAGCGAACAGGUUUAGAUACCCUGGUAGUCCGCGCAGUAAACGAUGCGCACCAGGUGUCGGGCGGCAGCGCCCGGUACCGGAGCAAACGCGAUGAGUGCGCCGCCUGGGGAGUAUGCCCGCAAGGGUGAAACUCAAAUGAAUUGACGGGG
rnacentral:rRNA from 1 species